UACGUAGGGUGCGAGCGUUAUCCGGAAUUACUGGGUUUAAAGGGUGCGUAGGCGGCUAUGUAAGUCAGGAGUGGAAGUUUGCGGCUCAACCGUAAAAUUGCUUUUGAUACUGCAUGGCUGGAAUUAGGAUGAGGUCAGCGGAAUGUGGCAUGUAGCGGUGAAAUGCAUAGAUAUGCCAUAGAACACCAAUUGCGAAGGCAGCUGGCUAGACCUGGAUUGACGCUGAGGCACGAAAGCGUGGGGAGCGAACAGG
rnacentral:rRNA from 1 species